rnacentral:rRNA from 1 species
UACAGAGGGUGCAAGCGUUAAUCGGAAUUACUGGGCGUAAAGCGUGCGUAGACGGUUAUGUAAGUCGGGUGUGAAAGCCCCGGGCUCAACCUGGGAAUUGCAUUCGAGACUGCAUAGCUAGGGUGCGGAAGAGGGAAGCGGAAUUUCCGGUGUAGCGGUGAAAUGCGUAGAUAUCGGAAGGAACACCAGUGGCGAAAAGCGGCUUCCUGGUCCAGCACCGACGUUCAGGCACGAAAGCGUGGGGAGCAAACAGG